CCCAGACUCCUACGGGAGGCAGCAGUGGGGGAUAUUGCACAAUGGGGGAAACCCUGAUGCAGCGACGCCGCGUGGGCGAAGAAGUAUUUCGGUAUGUAAAGCCCUAUCAGCAGGGAAGAAGAAAUGACGGUACCUGAGUAAGAAGCCCCGGCUAACUACGUGCCAGCAGCCGCGGUAAUACGUAGGGGGCAAGCGUUAUCCGGAUUUACUGGGUGUAAAGGGGGCGCAGACGGCGAUGCAAGCCAGGAGUGAAAGCCCGGGGCCCAACCCCGGGACUGCUCUUGGAACUGCGCGGCUGGAGUGCAGGAGGGGCAGGCGGAAUUCCUGGUGUAGCGGUGAAAUGCGUAGAUAUCAGGAGGAACACCGGUGGCGAAGGCGGCCUGCUGGACUGCGACUGACGUUGAGGCCCGAAAGCGUGGGGAGCAAACAGGAUUAGAUACCCGAGUA
rnacentral:rRNA from 1 species